rnacentral:rRNA from 1 species
AUUGAACGCUGGCGGCAUGCCUUACACAUGCAAGUCGAACGGUAACAGGUUAAGCUGACGAGUGGCGACCGGGUGAGUAAUACAUCGGAACGUGCCCAGUAGUGGGGGAUAGCCCGGCGAAAGCCGGAUUAAUACCGCAUACGACCUAAGGGUGAAAGGGGGGGAUCGCAAGACCUCUCGCUAUUGGAGCGGCCGAUGUCAGAUUAGCUAGUUGGUGGGGUAAAAGCUCACCAAGGCGACGAUCUGUAGCUGGUCUGAGAGGACGACCAGCCACACUGGGACUGAGACACGGCCCAGACUCCUACGGGAGGCAGCAGUGGGGAAUUUUGGACAAUGGGCGCAAGCCUGAUCCAGCCAUGCCGCGUGCGGGAAGAAGGCCUUCGGGUUGUAAACCGCUUUUGUCAGGGAAGAAAUCCUUUGGGUUAAUACCUCGGGGGGAUGACGGUACCUGAAGAAUAAGCACCGGCUAACUACGUG